ensembl:snRNA U6 U6 spliceosomal RNA
AUGUUUCCGCAGCACAUAUACUGAAGUUGGGUUGAUACAGAGAAGAUGAAUUAGCAUGGCACCUCUACAAACGCGAUAACGCAAAUGUGGGAAGUGUACCACUUUUUU